rnacentral:rRNA from 1 species
GCGGAGGAAAAGAAACCAACAGGGAUUGCCUCAGUAACGGCGAGUGAAGCGGCAACAGCUCAAAUUUGAAAUCUGGCCCCAUUGGGGGCUCGAGUUGUAAUUUGCANAGGAUGCUUCGGGCAAGGCGGUGGUCUAAUNUGCUUGGAACAGCAAGUCGAAGAGGGUGAGAAUCCCGUCUAGGAUCGUCAGCCACGUCCGUGUGAAGCUCCUUCGACGAGUCGAGUUGUUUGGGAAUGCAGCUCCAAAUGGGUGGUAAAUUUCAUCUAAAGCUAAAUAUGGGCCGGAGACCGAUAGCGCACAAGUAGAGUGAUCGAAAGAUGAAAAGCACUUUGAAAAGAGAGUUAAACAGUAUGUGAAAUUGUUGAAAGGGAAGCGCUUGCAAUCANACUUGUGACGGACGGUUGCCCCGCGACCUUCUGGCCGGGUUACUCCGUCACGUCCAGGCCAACAUCGGUUUGGGUGGCCGGUUAAAGACCNCGGGAAAGUAUCUACCUCCGGGUCGACUUAUAGCCCGGGGUGCAAUGCGGCCCACCCGGACCGAGGAACGCGCUCCGGCUCGGAUGUUGGCGUAAUGGUUGUAAGCGGCCCGUCUUGAAACACGGACCAAGGAGUCUAACAUCUAUGCGAGUGUUUGGGUGUGAAACCCCUACGCGGAAUGAAAGUGAACGGAGGUAAGAACCCCGUCAGGGGCGCAUUAUCGACCGAUCCUGAUGUUUUCGGAUGGAUUUGAGUAAGAGCAUAGCUGUUGGGACCCGAAAGAUGGUGAACUAUGCAUGAAUAGGGUGAAGCCAGAGGAAACUCUGGUGGAGGCUCGCAGCGGUUCUGACGUGCAAAUCGAUCGUCAAAUUUGUGCAUAGGGGCGAAAGACUAAUCGAACCAUCACCGAGGAUGGCUCCAGGUGGUUCUCGAACAGUCCUUUGGGGCUACAUCGUCCUUCUGGCGGGGAUGCAUCACCCGCAGCAGCUUUGGCUGUCCACAGACUAGGAGACGGUGGUCAUCUCAACCGUGAGAUGAUGAUGAUAUAGUCGGUCACGGUGGAGCAUCUCAACCGUGGAUCAACGCUGGUAGCUGGUUCCUGUCGAAGUUUCCCUCAGGAUAGCAGUAACGUUUUCAGUUUUAUGAGGUAAAGCGAAUGAUUAGAGGCCUUGGGGCUGUAACAGCCUUAACCUAUUCUCAAACUUUAAAUAUGUAAGAAGUCCUUGUUACUUGAUUGAACGUGGACAUUUGAAUGUAUCGUUACUAGUGGGCCAUUUUUGGUAAGCAGAACUGGCGAUGCGGGAUGAACCGAACGUGAGGUUAAGGUGCCGGAAUGCACGCUCAUCAGACACCACAAAAGGUGUCAAUGCAUCCAGACAGCCGGACGGUGGCCAUGGAAGUCGGAAUCCGCUUAGGAGUGUGUAACAACUCACCGGCCGAAUGCAUUGGCCCUGAAAAUGGAUGGCGCUUAAGCGUGCUACCUAUACCUCGCCGUUGGGGUUGAAAUGAUGCCCCAACGAGUAGGCAGGCGUGGGGGUUUGUGACGAAGCCUCGGGGGUGACCCCGGGUCGAACAACCUCUAGUG